GCGGACCCCAGGUCAGGUGGGACUACCCCG
rnacentral:rRNA from 1 species